rnacentral:lncRNA from 1 species
GGCAGAGCGGACGACGGACUUGCGUCCGAGUGACGGGGCGCGGGCUGCAGACUGGCUUAAGCCCUCGGUGGCAGACGAAUGUGCCCAGGCUAAGCUCAGGGGACGUGUGUGGCCCCGUGCUAUGGGCCCGCUGUGAGGGUGCCGCCAGGCCGUCGAUCACUGCCUGGACGUGAGGAGUGUGGUGGUGAAGGACACUCCCUGGACAGAGUCGCUUCCCAUCACGGCUUCCCCGCCGGACCGCACCUCCCGGAGCCCUGGCGCCAGCCAGCCCGGUUUAGCGGCCGGACCGGGCUCCCCCGCGGUCCCAGGUCUGGUUGGGGUGGGGGCCGCGGCCUCGGUGACCCCAGCCCGCAGCGGCCCGGCCCGUCCCGUCCACUUAAACAAAUUGCCGCUGACAGGCGCGCAGUCUCUCUGGAGCCGCCGCCCUCCCGUCGCCUCCCUCCCGUCCCAAUUAUCCCGCGCAGGGUGGGGCCAACUGGCUGGGAUGGGGCGGGGGACGCGGGGAGAGCGGGCGGCUCGACUCCCUCCUGGUCGCGGGGUGGCCCGGGGAAGCGUCUCCGCAGCCACGGCCUGUGUGGCCCCGUCCCUGGUCUUCCCGGGGGAUGCGAGGGCAAGGCCCAGCCUGGCAGCUGUGGGCCCUGGAAGGGCGUCGUUCUGCACCUAAGGGCGAGAUCACGCGGCCGAGAACCAAGGCCGCAUCCCGGAUGGACUUCGGGUGACUUUCCCGGAGUUCUGGGGAAUCCCCUAACCCGGGGAGCUGCAGACGACUCACUGGCCCCGGGCCGCGGUUCCGCGGGUGGCCGCUGUACGCUUGAGACACCUGGUCCGCAGAAGUCAGGUGCCCUGGCAGGAGGGACUGGCUUAUGCCACCCUGUGCAGGAUCGUCUUCUCAGCUUACAGAGCCUAGUGUGAUUCAACAACCCUCCAUCUCUGCCCCCAACAUGCCCAACUGAUCUGGUGGAGGGAACUGAAGAUGAAGGCCUCUCAGGCACCAUGGAUGGGAUGGGUGUGUGUGAAGGGGGCAGGGUCCCCAGGAGCUGCCCCAGGUCUGGCUGGACAGUUGCACGGGAAGUCCUGUUUGUGAACUCAACGUUUCCACGGCUUUUCCAUUAAACUUUACCCCAAA